rnacentral:rRNA from 1 species
CUACGGGGUGCACCAGUGGGGAAUAUUGGACAAUGGGCGCAAGCCUGAUCCAGCAAUGCCGCGUGAGUGAAGACGGCCUUAGGGUUGUAAAACUCUUUCGCUAGGGAAGAUAAUGACUGUACCUAGUAAAGAAGUCCCGGCUAACUCCGUGCCAGCAGCCGCGGUAAUACGGAGGGGACUAGCGUUGUUCGGAAUUACUGGCCGUAAAGAGUUCGUAGGCGGACUGACAAGUUAGAGGUGAAAUCCCAGGGCUCAACCCUGGAACUGCCUUUAAAACUGUCAGUCUAGAGACCGGAAGAGGUUAGGGGAAUACCUAGUGUAGAGGUGAAAUUCGUAGAUAUUAGGUGGAACACCAGUGGCGAAGGCGCCUAACUGGUCCGGUACUGACGCUGAGGAACGAAAGCGUGGGGAGCAAACAGGAUUAGAUACCCUCGUAGUC